rnacentral:rRNA from 1 species
AUCAUGGCUCAGGAUGAACGCUAGCUACAGGCUUAACACAUGCAAGUCGAGGGGCAGCAUGAACAAAGCUUGCUUGUUUGAUGGCGACCGGCGCACGGGUGCGUAACACGUAUCCAAUCUGCCCGCGGCUCGGGGGAUAGCCCAUCGAAAGAUGGAUUAAUACCCGAUGGUGUGGUCACUCCGCAUGGGGUUUCCACUAAAGGUUUUCCGGCCGCGGAUGAGGAUGCGUAUGAUUAGGUAGUAGGCGGGUAACGGCCCACCUAGCCUUCGAUCAUUAGGGGUUCUGAGAGGAAGGUCCCCCACACUGGAACUGAGACACGGUCCAGACUCCUACGGGAGGCAGCAGUGAGGAAUAUUGGUCAAUGGGCGAGAGCCUGAACCAGCCAAGUAGCGUGAAGGAAGACUGCCCUAUGGGUUGUAAACUUCUUUGUUCGGGAAUAAAGUGCAGUAUGUAUACUGUUUUGUAUGUACCGUUCGAAUAAGCAUCGGCUAAUUCCGUG